UCUUUUUGACAUGCUCUCUUUCCAUCGUCCUUAGCUUUUGUUUGUUGAGAGCUGUUUUGGCUUUCUCCUAUACCUCUGGGGGAUGCCAAGUGAUGGUUUUGAGAGGCUGGUGAUGGCUGUGAGCGAGAGUUUGCCGAUCGGCGUCGUCCUCGCUAUCGAUGAAAAUACUAGUUAUUGCGCACCUGGCAGAUAUCACAACACGUCGGAGCGUCCAGGAGCAAAGGAAUCUUGGGUUUUCACUGGAAUCUAGUUCCUCCAGCAUCGUGUAGCCCACCGUCGGUGAAUGGCGGUCCAGAAAGGUCGAACCUGGUCUUCUGCAGCAUCUCGCAGUCCUGCGAGGCACACUGAAUACGCCUGUCAUGUAUUCUACAAAUAAAAAUCACGAAGUAGUGGACUUUACAGUGAUGAGUCUAUCCUGUAUGCUGCAAAAGACGCAGGAAAUGUGACUGGUGUCUGUACACUCAGUGACUGGACGCCAACACCCCAGUCUUCUCCUGCAGGAUUUGUUUGACAUUGACAUUAUGCAGUAGGUCGGCAUUGACCUGGUUUGGCAGCUAUCCUAAUAGUAUCUGCCUGGUUGGAUGUAGCAGGUUGGUGUUUGCUCGUCGUCCAGUCCCGAAUUUUCUUGUAAGUCACGGUGGAGUACGCGCAGGGUUUGUGAUCAUCCCUGUUCACUUCAAUAUUAUCAAACACAACGUUCCCUUUGUCACUCAUCUUAUCCUGAGUACUGAAUUUGCUGACAAUAUUGCACCACACUUGUCACAACCUACCGCCACUGCUGGCGGUGGCGACUGGUUCGUCAAUGGCGGCCCGGUGACCAGGCUGACUGACUAGCUUCGAGACAGCGGCCUCGUUGUCAACCCCGCGGCAGCCUAAAGGUUGAUUUUAUCGAUCCAGCCUCAGCGCCAUGUUGACGAUGCCCUAGUGACUGUGUGUCAUGGAUUGCCUUGCCAUCAGCGGUCAUUGCCGUCCACCUUGGUGCAGCCCUCAACAACUGGCUCAGCCCAUGGGAGUCUCAAGUGGACAAAGUUGUUGCCAAAGUAGCUCAGAAGAUUGGUGCAUCGUGGUGUAGCACUGCAAGGCCGGCAGCUGGACCGACUGCAGGGGCCGCGCACAUGCAGGCCGCCUGUUGCCAGUGCAGCAUUCUGGAACGUUCCUUCCUUCUGAGAUCCGUGGAAUAAUAACUUUCUUUGCUUCAAAGCAAGUUGCUUACCUUUCUGUUGUGCUCCCAGUGUCCUUACAACAAUAACCUACAGCAAUGUUUUGUUUUCCUUUCCAUUCCCCAACCAAUGAGUACUACGAUGUCGAUUCUAUUUCUGAAUACUUUAGUGUGUGCCCGCGCACGCACGUGUGUGUGUUUGUGUGUGUAUACCUCACUCGCCACUCGAAGUUCUGUUCCCCAUCACUGGAACACUGCCUGUUCUUUCAGGACCUGCCAUCAUCUGCGGAUGGGCAUUCAAUGAUUGUAUUGUGUGUGUGUUUCAUUCAGAAUCAGAUCCGCUAUCGUUGCUAUAAGAGAAAAUCUGUGGGUUCACAUCCA